GGACGGUUAGCUCAGUUGGGAGAGCGCUUGCUUCACACGCAAGAGGUCGGCGGUUCGAUCCCGUCACCGUCCACCA
rnacentral:tRNA from 1 species